CUGGUCCGUCUGCGGAGGCUGUGCUGGGACUGCAGCGACGGCCCUCAAAAGUCCGAGCUUCUGUGGGUUUCCUCAGGAGCUUUCCGGCAUUGGCCAAGCUUUGAAAGAGCUUUAGGAACGAUAAAGAACUAAUAGAAACUUAAAGUAGUAUCACCCUCGCUUGACUGAAAUUUUGUGUGGAAACUAAGCUCAACGUGUCUGAGAUAAGGAAACUGAGGCAUAGAAAAAUAACGUGUCAAAUAGAGGCUUCCAGCCAGGAUCAAAUACAAUUACCAGUACAAACAGAAAAACCAACAGAAGAAAAAAGAAAACAAAUGAUUUUUGACCUAUUACUUAUCAGGUGCUUCAGGAGGAAUACAAAGAGAUGCCUGUGAUCUUUCAUCUUGAGGGAGCAGUUAAAGAGGCAGAGUUUCACCCCAAGCAGUGAGCGUGGCACCAUCCAGCUCCCUCUCCGGGAACCGUGCUCAGCAUCUCAGCAUCAAGCUGCCAGAGCUCUGAACUGUGCCUAUGGCAGGGCUGAAAGAAUCCCUUGUGCAAUUCAUCUUCUCAGACCUGUGAAACAAUACUCAGAGGAAACACCGCUCAGUCUCCUAUUAUAAUUCUAUCCAUU